rnacentral:rRNA from 1 species
GACGAACGCUGGCGGCGUGCUUAACACAUGCAAGUCGAACGGUAAGGCCCUUCGGGGUACACGAGUGGCGAACGGGUGAGUAACACGUGGGUGAUCUGCCCUGCACUUCGGGAUAAGCCUGGGAAACUGGGUCUAAUACCGGAUAGGACCACUGCCUGCAUGGGUGGUGGAAAGCUUUUGCGGUGUGGGAUGGGCCCGCGGCCUAUCAGCUUGUUGGUGGGGUAAUGGCCUACCAAGGCGACGACGGGUAGCCGGCCUGAGAGGGUGACCGGCCACACUGGGACUGAGAUACGGCCCAGACUCCUACGGGAGGCAGCAGUGGGGAAUAUUGCACAAUGGGCGCAAGCCUGAUGCAGCGACGCCGCGUGAGGGAUGACGGCCUUCGGGUUGUAAACCUCUUUCAGUAGGGACGAAGCGCAAGUGACGGUACCUAUAGAAGAAGGACCGGCCAACUACGUGCCAGCCGCCGCGGUAA